rnacentral:rRNA from 1 species
GUGCCAGCAGCCGCGGUAAUACGGAGGAUGCAAGCGUUAUCCGGAAUGAUUGGGCGUAAAGGGUCCGCAGGUGGCAAUGUAAGUCUGCUGUUAAAGAGUCACGCUCAACGUGAUCAGAGCAGUGGAAACUACAUAGCUAGAGUAUGGUUGGGGCAGAAGGAAUUCCUGGUGUAGCGGUGAAAUGCGUAGAUAUCAGGAAGAACACCGGUGGCGAAAGCGUUCUGCUAGACCAAAACUGACACUGAGGGACGAAAGCUAGGGGAGCGAAUGGGAUUAGAUACCCCCGUAGUCC